AGAAUGAACGCUGGCGGCAUGCCUAACACAUGCAAGUCGAACGAAACCUUCGGGUUUAGUGGCGCACGGGUGCGUAACGCGUGGGAAUCUGCCCCUUGGUUCGGAAUAACAGUUGGAAACGACUGCUAAUACCGGAUGACGACGUAAGUCCAAAGAUUUAUCGCCGAGGGAUGAGCCCGCGUAGGAUUAGGUAGUUGGUGUGGUAAAGGCGCACCAAGCCGACGAUCCUUAGCUGGUCUGAGAGGAUGAUCAGCCACACUGGGACUGAGACACGGCCCAGACUCCUACGGGAGGCAGCAGUGGGGAAUAUUGGACAAUGGGCGAAAGCCUGAUCCAGCAAUGCCGCGUGAGUGAUGAAGGCCUUAGGGUUGUAAAGCUCUUUUACCCGGGAUGAUAAUGACAGUACCGGGAGAAUAAGCUCCGGCUAACUCCGUGCCAGCAGCCGC
rnacentral:rRNA from 1 species